rnacentral:rRNA from 1 species
UACGUAGGUCCCGAGCGUUGUCCGGAUUUAUUGGGCGUAAAGCGAGCGCAGGUGGUUUAUUAAGUCUGGUGUAAAAGGCAGUGGCUCAACCAUUGUAUGCAAUGGAAACUGGUAGACUUGAGUGCAGGAGAGGAGAGUGGAAUUCCAUGUGUAGCGGUGAAAUGCGUAGAUAUAUGGAGGAACACCGGUGGCGAAAGCGGCUCUCUGGCCUGUAACUGACACUGAGGCUCGAAAGCGUGGGGAGCAAACAGG